rnacentral:rRNA from 1 species
UAGUUGUUCGUGUCUUUAAGACGUGAGUAACGCAGCUAACGCACUAAGUUGACCGCCUGGGGAGUACGGCCGCAAGGUUAAAACUCAAAUGAAUUGACGGGGGCCCGCACAAGCGGUGGAGCAUGUGGUUUAAUUCGAUGCAACGCGAAGAACCUUACCAUCCCUUGACAUCCAGAGAAUUUUCUAGAGAUAGAUUAGUGCCUUCGGGAACUCUGAGACAGGUGCUGCAUGGCUGUCGUCAGCUCGUGUUGUGAGAUGUUGGGUUAAGUCCCGCAACGAGCGCAACCCUUAUCCUUAGUUGCCAGCACUAAGGUGGGAACUCUAGGGAGACUGCCGGUGAUAAACCGGAGGAAGGUGGGGACGACGUCAAGUCAUCAUGGCCCUUACGGGAUGGGCUACACACGUGCUACAAUGGCGCACACAAAGGGCAGCAAGCUAGCGAUAGCAAGCGAAUCUCAAAAAGUGCGUCGUAGUCCGGAUUGGAGUCUGCAACUCGACUCCAUGAAGUCGGAAUCGCUAGUAAUCGUGGAUCAGAAUGCCACGGUGAAUACGUUCCCGGGCCUUGUACACACCGCCCGUCACACCAUGGGAGUGGGCUGCACCAGAAGUAGAUAGCUUAACCUUCGGGAGGGCGUUUACCACGGUGUGGUUCAUGACUGGGGUG